rnacentral:rRNA from 1 species
GACUCUCGGCAACGGAUAUCUCGGCUCUCGCAUCGAUGAAGAACGUAGCGAAAUGCGAUACUUGGUGUGAAUUGCAGAAUCCCGUGAACCAUCGAGUCUUUGAACGCAAGUUGCGCCCGAGGCCUCCUGGUCGAGGGCACGUCUGCCUGGUCC